GUGGUCUCUGCUGAGGCCAGGACAGUCUUUCCUCCCGUCCUUUCCUCCUACCUUAGCAUUCAGGGGAGAUCUGAGGCAAGGGCUCUUGUAAACAUCCCUUACUUUCUGUUACUGGCAUUGGACCGUGGCACACAGUGGCCACUGAGGUUUGGAUCUUCCCCCAUCUCUCCAGCCUUGUCUCCUGUUGCCCCCGUGUCUCCUACCUGCCUCACACCAUGCAGCAGAUUCUUCCAAAUUCCCUUGCCACACCCCACCUCGAUGCUUUGCUCAUGCUGGACCCUCUGCUGGAAAUCCCCUUUCUACUUUGCUUAUUGAUUUAUUUUUAAAAUCCUUCAGAGACUCCACUUGGGCACCACUUCUUCCAGGAAGCUCUGCCUGCACCCUUACAUUGGUCCUCCCCUGUCUCUCCCAGCUGCCCUCUCAGUGCUGGCCACGUCCUCUUGAGCAGUGUGUGUAUGUAUCUGUGUGUGUCCUCUUCUGGAGCUCACACUUUCAUGAUGCUCUCCUAUUCGCAUGAGGCACCGAGUGAAUAUUUGUUUGGUUAUAUUGGGUUCAGUGCUUUGAAAUCAGACCUAGAUGUUUUGAUCCAGCUCAGUCAUUCUGACCACGAGAGAGUAAUAUUCCCGUUGAUUAAUUUCUCAGGUGAAGGUCCAACAACUGGCUUACAAGAACCAACUGAGGUGCAGUUUGGGAAACGCUUCAGGAAGCAAUAUGAUCCUGUUCUUAAAUUCAUUCAGCAAAUAUUAUAGAGUGUCCGCUGGGCCCAGGCACACACAGUGCCCGAGGUAUUAGGGAGCCAUAGAGACAAAGGUCUCUGCCUUUGUAGGGAUGGCAUCCUAGCAGGAAGAGACAGAAUGGACAAGAAACUUCAGAUAGUAUGUCAGAGGAUAAGUGCUAUGAAAGAAAAACCAGAGCAAGGUCAAGGGGGUGAAGAGAAUGCUGGUGCUAGAGCAGUUUUGUGUAUAUAUUUUGUGUUUGCAUUUAAAAAAAUAAUUUCAUUGAGUUAUAAUUUACCCAGAGUAAAACACACAGGUUUUCUGUGUAUAAAUAUUCUUUUGUGUCUGGCUUUUACUUAUGUGUUUGAGACUCCUCAGUUACGUGUAUCAGUAGUUUAUUCGUUUUUAGUGCUGAGUAGGGUUCCACUGAAGGAACAUACCACAGUUUACUUAUCCGUUCACCUGUUGAUCAUCAUUUGGGUUUUUGUUAGAUGCCGAGACAGAGUUAGAAGUAGGUUUAUUGGAGAUAAAAGGAGGGGGAAGGCAGGGAAAGUCUUCAGGUGGCAGAGCAGGUUGGACAUCUCUGGAAGGAAAGGGAGAAGGAAGGAGGUCUGGAUGUGCCUCAGAAGGUGGCGCAGGCCUGAGCAAGUCUGGGCCAGCCCAGCAGGAAGUUCCAGCUCUGCGCUGGGCAGAACUGGCCAGGUCCUGGACACCUGCGCUGUCACAGGAGGGCCUCUGUGGCUGUUGAGGGCCGUGUCUAGUUUCUGGCUGCUAAGAGAAGGUGCGCCUCAGCACCUUCCCGCACGAGUGGAUUUUGUGGACACAGGCGCCCUGUUCUCUUGGGCGUGUGCCUCAGGAUGGGGUUGCUGGACGAUGGGAUAGGCCAUGCCAGAAACUGCUGUGAACUGCUUUCUCCAACUAGUGCAUUUCACCCUUCAGUCAGCAGGGCGUGGCAGUCAUGGUGGCUCUCCAUCCUCACUUGCUGUCAUUUGCAUUAGGUUUUUUUUUUUUCCCUGUUAAUUACAUUGGUUUCCUGUGGUUGCUGUAACAAGUGACCACAGGCUGGGUGGCUUAACACAAAUUUCUUCCAUUUCUGUAGAAGUCCAACAUGGACAAAAAUCAAGGUGUCCGCAGAGCCUUCCUGUCUGGAGGUUUAAGGGCAAAUUCAUUUAUGUGGCUUUUCCAGCUCCUAGAGGCCACCCCCAUUCUUUGGCUUGUGGCCCUACCCUCCAUCUUCAAGUACAGCAGCAUGGCAUAUCUAGCCAUUCUUCCACAGUCACAUGCCCCUUGGAACACAGUCCAGAUAGGUUCUCUGAUUUUAAGAGCCGCGUGAUUAACUUAGGCCGCCCACAUUAUCCAGAAUGGUUUCAUCCCCAGGUCCUCGACUCACGUUCUGAGGCACAGCCCCUUUUGUCGUGUAAGGUGACCUAUUCACACGUUAUGGAGGAGUAGGACAGGGAUAGGUUUUGAGGCCAUUCUACUUACCACAUUAAAUAUUUUAAAUUUUAGCCUUUCCAGGCUUCAUUGAAAUUUUAAUUUACAUUUCCCCAUAUCUUUUCGUGUGCUUAUUGGCCACUCAUAAGAUUUCUUUGUAAAGAGUGUCUCUGAGUCUUUGUCCAUUAAAAAAAAUCAGGCUCUUUGCUUUCUUAUUGAAUUCUUUAUAUAUUCUGGAUGCAGUUGUUCCCUCAGGUAUGUGUGUUGUGAGUAUUGUCUCUCAGUCUUCGGCUUGCUUUUCAUAAUGGUGUCUUUGGAAGAGCACAAGUUUUAAUUUGGAUGAACUCUAGCUUGUCGGUUGUUCUUUUUUAUGGCUAGUGCUUUUUGUGUCCUGUCCCAGAAAUCUCUGUCUAUUGUAAGGUCACAAAGGUUUUCUCUUAUAUUUCUGUUCAAAGUUUUAUAGUUGUAGAUUGCAUAUUUGUUUCUCUGAUAUAUAAUCUGAGUUAUUUGUGUAUUAAGUGGAAUAGGGAUUGAGGUUCUUUUUUUUUGACAUUUAUUUAUUUUUGAGAGAAAAAGAGAGCAUGAGCAGGGGUAGGGGCAGAGAGAGAGAGAGAGAGAGAGAGGGAGACACAGAAUCCAAAGCAGGCUCCAGGCUCGGAGCUGUCAGCACCGAGCCCAAUGCGGGGCUUGAACUCACGAACCGUGAGAUCAUGACCUGAGCUGAAGUCAGACGCUUAACUGACUGAGCCACCCAGGCGCCCCUGUUUUUCAGGGUUGGGAUACUCAGGUGUUAGAGCACCAAGUGAUGAACGACCAUCCUUUGCCUUAUUUAGUUUCCUUGGCAUUUCUGUCAAAACACAGUCAACCGUAGAUGGAUAAACAAAACUUGGUAUAUCCAUUCAGUGGAAUAUUACUCAGCCACAAAGAGGUACAAAGUACUGACAGAUGCUACAACACAGGCAAAGCUUGAAAACAUAAGCCAAAUGAGAGAAGGCAGACGCAAAAGGCCACAGAUUAUAUAAUUCCGUUUAUAUAAAAUGUACGAAUGAAUGGGCCAGUUCAUAGGGACAGAAAAUGGUUGUGCAGGGCUGAGGCUGGUGUCGUGUGAAUAGGAAGUGACUGCUUAAUAGGUACAGGGUUUCUCUUUGGGGUAAUGAGAAAAGUUCUAAAACAAGAUAGUGGUGAUAGUCACAGUUGUACAACAUUGUGAAUGGAAUAAAAACCACGGAAUUACAGGCUUUAAAUGGUAAUUUUUGUUAUGUGUAUUUUACCACACACAAAAAUCAUUUCACCAUAUAUUUCUGACCUCUUCAUUCUUUCACUGAUCAUAUGUCUGUUCUUAGUCUCAUACCACACUGUCUUGGUUUGCGCCCCUCUAGUAAGUCUUUUAAUAUCAGGUAGUUAAAAAAAAUUUUUUUAACGUUUUAAUUUGUUUUUAAGAGAGAGAAAACGAGCAGGGGAGGGGCAGGGGCAGAGAGGGAGACACAGAAUCUGAAGCAGGCUCCAGGCUCUGAGCUGUCAACACAGAGCCCAUUGUGGGGCUUGAACUUAUGAACUGUGAGAUCAUGACCUGAUCCAAAGUCAGACACUUAACCAACUGAGCCACCUAGGUGCCCCUAAGAUCACGUAGUUUUAAAUUCAGACUUGUUCUACCCCCCAACCCCACCAAAUCACUUUAUAUGUACAUUCUUUACAUUUAUAUAUUAACUUUAAAAUCUGCUUGUCUGUUUCUUGAAAAGAGCUUGCUGGGAUUUUGAUUGAAAUCAUAUUACAUACCAUUUUGAGAAUGGACAUUUUAAUAAUGUUGAAUAUGUUUUGUGACUGUUGUGAAAAGUGUUAUUUAUUUAU